UGGGGAAUUUUGGACAAUGGGGGAAACCCUGAUCCAGCCAUCCCGCGUGUGCGAUGAAGGCCUUCGGGUUGUAAAGCACUUUUGGCAGGAAAGAAACGUCAUGGGUUAAUACCCCGUGAAACUGACGGUACCUGCAGAAUAAGCACCGGCUAACUACGUGCCAGCAGCCGCGGUAAUACGUAGGGUGCAAGCGUUAAUCGGAAUUACUGGGCGUAAAGCGUGCGCAGGCGGUUCGGAAAGAAAGAUGUGAAAUCCCAGAGCUCAACUUUGGAACCGCAUUUUUAACUACCGGGCUGGAGUGUGUCAGAGGGAAGUGGAAUUCCGCGUGUAGCAGUGAAAUGCGUAGAUAUGCGGAGGAACACCGAUGGCGAAGGCAGCCUCCUGGGAUAACACUGACGCUCAUGCACGAAAGCGUGGGGAGCAAACAGG
rnacentral:rRNA from 1 species